CAGGGCUCAGGGGCACAUGCCUCUUCCCACACCUCUGGCCCAUUGUUCCAACGGGAGACUGCGCUGGAGCUGUGUGGCUGCCCUCCGCCCUGUGCCUGCAGCUGGGCCAAGUCCCCCCAUGUGGACGAUACCUUGCAGACACUCCACUCCCACCCCAUGCAGGUGCCUGCGCCUCCCUGCCUGGGAUCCGUUGCCUUCCAAUCCUCUCUGUUGGCUUCAGCUCUCCCAGCCUGUCAUCAGCCACCCCUAACAGUUAGUGUAUAGCAGCGGUCCCCACCCUUUGUGGUACCGGCGACCCGUUUCCUGGAAGACAGUUUCCCAUGGACCAGGUGCCUCCUGCAGCGCUCCUGACACCCAGUGUCCUCUGCUCACAAUGCUGGCUUCCUGACCGUGUCUCCCGGCCAGAAGGCAGCCAAGCCACAUGUCACCACGGCAACCCUGGCUACAAGGGGAGAGGCAGCCUGGGCCCUCGAUCCCUUGGAUGCAACCAUCCCUCUGAGCCUCACCAACUGUUUCUCCAUGUCCUCGUCCCGAGGGGAGCUGACAAAGAUCGUGUUCUGCAUCAAACCCACAAAGCACCAGAAGGUGUCCGAUUCGUCCAGGACCUCGGCCAAGAUGGGCGCCACCAGGUCCGACAUGCCCUGGGAGUAGCCGACGGCUGGGUUGUAGACAGCAUAGUUCAGCAGGAUCCUCCUGGGAGGUGGCCGAGACAGCAGAGGCUGGGGAUGACCCUCACCGUGGCACACUGCCCACCCCACAGAACCCUGGGCCAUGGACCCUGCCUGCCCCGCCUGCCUUCAUCUCGGUGGAAGGCAGCUCUGCCACCAUCUUAGAACCCAAGCUGAGGUUCUGGACACAUAGACUCUUGCUUUGUAAAGGUAAUGGCCUGGCCAGGUGAGGUGGCUCAUGCCUAUAAUCCCAGCACUUUGAGAAGCCGAGGUGGGCAGAUCACCUGAGGUCAGGAGUUCAAGACUAGCCUGGGCAACAUGGUGAAACCCUGUCUCUACAAAAAAUACAAAAAUUAGCUGGGCAUGGUGGGGUGCACACCUGUAAUCCCAGCUACUUGGGAGGCUGAAGCAGGAGACUCAGGUUGAACCCAGGAGGUGGAGGUUGCAGUGAGCUGAGUUCAUACCACUGUACUCCAGUCUAGGUGACAGAGCAAGACUCCGUCUCAGAAAAAAAAGCAGUGCCUGCUAAGCCUAGGCCCAGAACCUGAGAGCAGGAGUAAGGGGGAACACGGGUCUGAUUUACAGAAGGAUGGACUGCCUGUGGCAAGGGGUGGGCUGGCAGGGACAUUUCUGUGGGCUGUUAAUUUUGUGCAAUUAUUUGCUAGGCUGCAGCAGAAUGUCACAGAUGCCAGCCUCUGGCUCUGUGUGCCUGUAUGACUGCAGGACCACCCACGGGGAGGUGGAGGGGGUGCAUGGGGAAGCUGGUCCAUGGUUGGUAUGAGCCAAGCAAGGACAGGCUUGGUGGUGCCCAGGGGAUGGGGGUCUCUGUGGGCCCCACUGGUUUCCCUGGGAUGCCGUGGCUCUGAGAUGCCGACUCGAGUAGCUCAUGAGUAGUGUGUCCUUCACUUCUGAGGCUUUGAUGUCUGAACUUGGAAAGAGAGCCCCUGUAGAAAGUCACUGGGGGCUCAUCCACUUCCCGGAGGGGUUGGGAGAGGCUUGCAGACUUGCAGAUGGGGAACGGGCUGGCUGGGAGGAGUACCUCAUGCUCUCCACAUUGGGAUUGUCGUCCCCUCGGAAGAACUGGUUGCUCCGAUCAGUCCGGACCACGUCUUUGUCCACGGUGAACUGCACGUUGCGCCAGAAUGCUCUGUGCUCCUCAGGGGUCAUGGAGAGCCUGUGUGGAGCAGAGCACCCGGCCAGGGUCAGCAGGUGGCACCUGGAGGCAUCUCGUGGGGACACACUCUGGGAAGCCGCCUUCCCUCCCAACCCUGUUCCCUGGAUGGGAGCUGGGCUGCUGCUGCCAGCUGCUGACUCUCCCUGACGCGACGGAUGGGUGGCGUGCAUCCAAGGCUCUCCCUGGUAUUAACUCAGCCUCACAGGCUCCAGUGUCCCAGAGAGAAGAGAAGGUUGCAGCCUAAUGGAUAAUGAGGCCUUGGCCCCGAACCAGCGCUCUGGAGGGAAGCUGAGCACAGGCCAGGAGCUCACCUCCUGGAGAGAGAGCUUACCGCAGCCCUGGGUGAGUGGACCCCAAGUGGGACACGACACUCCCGCCUCCGGGGCCCUUCACCCCACGAGGCCCUGCUCCUAGACCCAGUCUUCAGCUGUGGGACGUCAGCGCCUAGUUAAGUCUGUUGAAGGAGAAUUCUAAAACCUUGACAUGUGAGCUAACGAGCCCGCAGUUCCGAGGCCCGAGUGCUCGGUUUAAUGACUGCACUUAGCCCACCCUAUCACUCACGUUCCUGGGAGACCCAUUUCUGAAAGAAACUAUGGGUCACGAAACAUAUUAUCAAUGCUGAAUUGCACCUCAAAUUGCCUUUUCAAAUGACAUUUUCCUCUGCGGCUCGGCAGGGCGGGCCAGGCGGUUACCUCCUCCGCUGGAUGUCAGAGUACUCCUUCCGCUUCUGCAGCCGCAGCGCCUCCCGCUCCUCCGACGUGGACUCGUGGCUGUAAUAGCGCAGCAGGAAGGGCCAGACCUCCCCCCGGAUUGACACAUCAAUGCCGCCAAAGAAAAUGGCCUAGAGGAAGCGGCAAAAGUUGGGGAGGGGAUAAAAUAGGGCAGCUCAAAGAACCCCCAAAUCCCCAGAGAUGUGUGUUUUGGUGGCUUUGGUGCGCCUUGAUUCAGAUCUCUGCAAUUUGCAUGUUUACAAGGGGAAAGCGGUGGCCUUCAAUUCCCAUACAGGACACAAACCCGGCUCAUUUCAAUGUCAAUGCCCCCCCUGGGGUGGCGCUCAGAUUAACCUGUCGUUCUCACGUCGUGGCCUAAUCCCUGGUUUUGGAAAUGCUGCAUUUCACUGCAAACCCUUCUAUGCAGGCUGACAAGGUAUCCCCCCAAACCCGAGAGGGAGGUGUUCUUUUUUUUUUUCAACACAGCGGCUUUGAUUGCUUUAUCGGUGUGUUCACAGAGAACCUCACACAAGAAAACGGGGCCCUCCCGAGGAGAUGGCCCGUGGGUGCGGGCGGGCGGCCAGUCCCUGGCCCUCCUUCCUUUUCACUGCCUGGUUCCUGGCCGGCUCUCCAUAGAGCCGGCCGGGCGGGCCCAGGCCUCACCUUACGCAGCUUGUACUCCUCCUCCACCUGGCCCAGCUCGUUCAGGUGGUUGAGCCAGGCAGAGACAUCCAGCCUCUUGUACAUGCUCUCCUCCGGGUGCGUCUCGGAGGACGGCAGCUUGGGGCGGCGGAUGGAAAACUGCAUGCAGGUCUUUUCGGGGGCGACCUGCUGGAUGGGAGGAAAACUGGGCAAAGGUCAGGAUCUCAGCCGCCAGCCUCAAGGCCAGCAGUGAUUUUCCCAGGAUGAAAAGCCUCUCUCUCUUCUGAAAGGAGGGCAAGGGCCGUCCCCUGCAUACAAACCCCUAAAUGGCGCGCGUAAUUAGCCGCAAUUAAAAUGAAAAUACCUUCAUCUUAAAAUCGGUUUCCCUCUGCGGCUCCCUUGUCCCCGGCCCACUGUGCCACCGCCCCCCACUCUCUCCAGCGCCAGCCGCAAAAAACGGAAUUAAUGCCUCGUUGGGCCUAACUUCCCUCUGCCGGGAGGGCCUGCAAUGAAUUACAUGUGAUUGGCCACAUACAAAGGGAUGGCUGUUCUGCGAGCAGGGAGCCAGCCUGUCAGAUUGUCUCCGCGCACAGUCACGAAUCCAGGGCAAAACUGCAGCUGACAUUUAAUUCAAAAAUCAAAGGUUGUUCAAUGCAGGGGAGAGAAAGCCACGCUACUGUAAUAAGGGAAGCCAGCAGGAGGCUCUGUGGGAAGGAAGGGAAUUUUAAAGUCAGCCCCGUUUCUAAUAAGCACAUACAGUACCUUAAACAGAUAAUUAAAGAGCUCUUAUUACAUUUGUACGUAGAUUGAGCAAAAUAUGGCAGGAAGUCUUGUCAAAACAUGAUUUUCAAGUGCAGAGCACUGACUUUACAGAGAGCCCUGGGCACAGGUUUCAAGCCCCAAGUUGCCGCUUUGAUGGCCGAAAGCUACCGUGGGUCACACCCCGUAAACCCCUGGGCCCGGGGACCCCAGACACAGGACCCAGGCUGGAGGUGGGCCCCUGGGGCGGGGGUGGGGAGUGUCAGCCUCAGGGCGUGCUGGGGCCGUGCGAUGGGCUACCUGGUCUUUGAGCUGCAUCUCCGUGCAGUAUUUCCACUGCUGGAACACGUCAGACAGCUUGUCCAGGCCGCCGUGGUGGAAGUGGAAGACCUUGUACUGGCUCUCUCUGCUGGCGACGACCAGCUGGCCACUGGUGCAGGCCUCGUCGCUGAAGGGCCAUCGGAGAGGGGAGAGGGAAGCCCGAUGAAUAUGUAAACACGGGGUUUUUAUUUCCAAGUAUAAUCAGAGGCCACUGUCACCAACCUCAGAAGCAGGAAACAGUGAGUCCCAGUGGAGCUAGCUGCUGGUGGGCGGGGGCAGAACUAGACCCGAACACAGACCAUUACCCGCUUUGCUGAAGAUGGCGAAACUGCUCCUUCCUGGGGGGCCCUGGGGCUCCUCUCUGGAGACCUGCCAGAAUGGCCCUCUCCCCACGACCACCUGCCCUGCUACAUGGUCCCUGCCGUCUGGGAGACCUGGGGGGUGGAUGCUGGGUGCCUGGAAUCCGGUUUUGAGCCCGGUGGGGCGUGUGCUAAGAGAAUCUCCUGGGAACAGACUCCUCCGUUGUGUGUGGGUGGAACUCUGGGAGAACCCUCCAGGGAAACUCACUAAACAUCCGUCAGUGCUGUCAGCCCAACCCCGGCUGCCCUUAGAUGAAAGGCUGGAAUGUGGCUCUGGGUUUAGGAACCCCCCUAGCUUCUGGACACGCCGGCUUCUUCUAAGCCCGUGCCUCUUGUUGGAGCUGUCUGUGGCUGGGCGGUCCUGACUACAAGGAAGAGGAUCUGAUGUGGGGAGGACGGCAGGAAAAGUGGCAUCGCCCACCCGUCACAAAAGGAAGGGAGCCUCUGUCCGCAAAGCCACGGCCUGGCCCGCAUGGGUGGCGGAGCUCCAGAGCAUCUCCCCAGGAUCAGAGUGGCCCGCAGCUGCUACUCUCUGCCCUGGUUUGGUUUCUUCUCCCAAGCCAGAGUUGGAAGCGACCACGAGCUACGUCACUCAGAAGGCAGGGGAAUGAGUUUGGUAGCUCGCCCUGCCUAAGAACUGCCGGGGAGCCGCAGCGGGGAACCACUGCCUCCGAGACCAGUGCAGGAAGAAGAAAGACACCUGUGAAGACUCCAGCCAGGGCCCUGUGUCCCCACGCCGUCCACUGCAAAGCCCAGGCUGCUGGGAAAAGCACACAUGGCCAAGUCCCAGGAGGCACCCAGAGACACAUCCUACCUGAAGAAAAGGCGGAGGGAGCGCAUGUGGCCCAGGUCCACGCGGAACACGCCGCAGAUCUGCUCCAGGGCGCAUACCCGCUGUGGCUCGUCCCAGCGCGGGGUCUGCAGGAGGCCGUUGCUGUCCGGGAAGCGCAGGCUGGUGUCGGAGCUGGACGGGGGGCUGGUGAAACAGUUGGUCCUGUGAUGAUGGCCACAUGCUUCCCUGCCCACACCACCCAAAGGGGGGGUUGGGGGGCAGGGGGAAGCCAUUUAAACCUACACACCAAGCUUAAACACACAAGGACAGCUGAAUAUGCCCAGUAAACACCUGUGAAUGAAUGAAUGAAUGAA